AUUGAACGCUGGCGGAAUGCUUUACACAUGCAAGUCGAACGGCAGCACGGGGGCAACCCUGGUGGCGAGUGGCGAACGGGUGAGUAAUACAUCGGAACGUGCCCAGUCGUGGGGGAUAACGUAGCGAAAGUUACGCUAAUACCGCAUACGAUCUACGGAUGAAAGCGGGGGACCGUAAGGCCUCGCGCGAUUGGAGCGGCCGAUGUCAGAUUAGGUAGUUGGUGAGGUAAAGGCACACCAAGCCGACGAUCUGUAGCUGGUCUGAGAGGACGGCCAGCCACACUGGGACUGAGGCACGGCCCAGACUCCUCCGGGAGGCAGCAGUGGGGAAUUUUGGACAAUGGGCGCAAGCCUGAUCCAGCCAUUCCGCGUGCAGGACGAAGGCCUUCGGGUUGUAAACUGCUUUUGUACGGAACGAAAAGGCUCUGGUUAAUACCUGGGGCUCAUGACGGUACCGUAAGAAUAAGCACCGGCUAACUACGUGCCAGCAGCCGCAGUAA
rnacentral:rRNA from 1 species